GCCUGCUUGGCCAAGUGGUAUGGCGUUCCACUCGUAUUUACGAGUAUAUGGGGAGAUCCUCGGUUCAAUCCCGAGAGUGGGCA